rnacentral:lncRNA from 1 species
AGGAAACAGUCACAAAAAGAAAAGAAAGAAAGAAGAGGAAGAGAAAGGAGAAGAAAACAAAUCAGCAACUUGGAUGGAGCUGGAGGCCAUUAUUCUAAGUCCAUGUGCUGCACACCAGUCAGAGCGAUUACAUAAAAUAUCUAUUCUGAGAGUGGAAUUUUCAAGCAAGAGCUUAGAUGGAAGAAAAGCAUACAUGGUCAACUUAUCAAUUUGGAGGAUCCUUGGGGACACUAAAUCUUCUGUUACCAUGAGAAGGAAGAUCCUUAUAUACCCAAAGGUAAGUCUGACCGUCAUGAUAAAAUGCAAUGUUGUACUUACACAUAGGUCAAAUAAAGUAUUUUCCCACUUGAAUCCACUUCAAAAG